CGUAAGCGCACGCAGGCGGUCAAUUAAGUCAGAUGUGAAAGCCCCGAGCUUAACUUGGGAAUUGCAUCUGAAACUGGUUGGCUAGAGUCUUGUAGAGGGGGGUAGAAUUCCAUGUGUAGCGGUGAAAUGCGUAGAGAUGUGGAGGAAUACCGGUGGCGAAGGCGGCCCCCUGGACAAAGACUGACGCUCAGGUGCGAAAGCGUGGGGAGCAAACAGGAUUAGAUACCCUGGUAGUCCACGCUGUAAACGAUGUCGAUUUAGAGGUUGUGGUCUUGAACCGUGGCUUCUGGAGCUAACGCGUUAAAUCGACCGCCUGGGGAGUACGGCCGCAAGGUUAAAACUCAAAUCAGGAAUUGACGGGGGCCCGCACAAGCGGUGGAGCCCAUGUGGUUUAAUUCGAUGCAACGCGAAGAACCUUACCUACUCUAUGACAUCCAGCGAAUCCUUUAGAGAUAGAGGAGUGCCUUCGGGAACGCUGAGACAGGUGCUGCAUGGCUGUCGUCAGCUCGUGUUGUGAAAUGUUGGGUUAAGUCCCGCAACGAGCGCAACCCUUAUCCUUUGUUGCCAGCACGUGAUGGUGGGAACUCAAAGGAGACUGCCGGUGAUAAACCGGAGGAAGGUGGGGAUGACGUCAAGCUCAUCACUGGCCCUUACGAGUAGGGCUACACACGUGCUACAAUGGCAGAUACAAAGAGAAGCGACCUCGCGAGAGCAAGCGGAACUCAUAAAGUCUGUGCGUAGUCCGGAUUGGAGUCUGCAACUCGACUCCAUGAAGUCGGAAUCGCUAGCUUAAUCGUAGAUCAGAAUGCUACGGUGAAUACGUUCCCGGGCCUUGUACACACCGCCCGAAUCACACGCAUGGGAGUGGGUUGCAAAAGAAGUAGGUAGCUUAACCUUCGGGAGGGCGCUUACCACUUUGUGAUUCAUGACUGGGGUGAAUCUAGAGGG
rnacentral:rRNA from 1 species